AGGGUGAACCAGGAGCCAAAGGAGACACUGGUCUGGCUGGCCUUAAUGGACAAGAUGGUUUGAAAGGUGACUUGGGUCCUCAAGGUCCACCUGGCCCAAAAGGAGAAAAGGGUGAUAUGGGACCUCCAGGGCCACCAGCCUUAACUGGUUCCAUAGGGAUACAAGGCCCCCAAGGUCCACCUGGGAAAGAAGGUCAAAGGGGAAGACGAGGGAAAACAGGACCCCCAGGAAAUCCAGGACCUCCCGGACCGCCCG